rnacentral:rRNA from 1 species
CUACAGGCUUAACACAUGCAAGUCGAGGGGCAGCAUUUUAGUUUGCUUGCAAACUGAAGAUGGCGACCGGCGCACGGGUGAGUAACACGUAUCCAACCUGCCGAUAACUCCGGAAUAGCCUUUCGAAAGAAAGAUUAAUACCGGAUGGCAUACGAAUAUCGCAUGAUAUUUUUAUUAAAGAAUUUCGGUUAUCGAUGGGGAUGCGUUCCAUUAGUUUGUUGGCGGGGUAACGGCCCACCAAGACUACGAUGGAUAGGGGUUCUGAGAGGAAGGUCCCCCACAUUGGAACUGAGACACGGUCCAAACUCCUACGGGAGGCAGCAGUGAGGAAUAUUGGUCAAUGGGCGAGAGCCUGAACCAGCCAAGUAGCGUGAAGGAUGAAGGCUCUAUGGGUCGUAAACUUCUUUUAUAUGGGAAUAAAGUUUUCCACGUGUGGAAUUUUGUAUGUACCAUAUGAAUAAGGAUCGGCUAACUCCGUGCCAGCAGCCGCGGUAAUACGGAGGAUCCGAGCGUUAUCCGGAUUUAUUGGGUUUAAAGGGAGCGUAGGUGGAUUGUUAAGUCAGUUGUGAAAGUUUGCGGCUCAACCGUAAAAUUGCAGUUGAAACUGGGAGUCUUGAGUACAGUAGAGGUGGGCGGAAUUCGUGGUGUAGCGGUGAAAUGCUUAGAUAUCACGAAGAACUCCGAUUGCGAAGGCAGCUCACUAGACUGUCACUGACACUGAUGCUCGAAAGUGUGGGUAUCAAACAGGAUUAGAUACCCUGGUAGUCCACACAGUAAACGAUGAAUACUCGCUGUUUGCGAUAUACAGUAAGCGGCCAAGCGAAAGCAUUAAGUAUUCCACCUGGGGAGUACGCCGGCAACGGUGAAACUCAAAGGAAUUGACGGGGGCCCGCACGAGCGGAGGAACAUGUGGUUUAAUUCGAUGAUACGCGAGGAACCUUACCCGGGCUUAAAUUGCAACAGAAUAUAUUGGAAACAGUAUAGCCGUAAGGCUGUUGUGAAGGUGCUGCAUGGUUGUCGUCAGCUCGUGCCGUGAGGUGUCGGCUUAAGUGCCAUAACGAGCGCAACCCUUAUCUUUAGUUACUAACAGGUUAUGCUGAGGACUCUAGAGAGACUGCCGUCGUAAGAUGUGAGGAAGGUGGGGAUGACGUCAAAUCAGCACGGCCCUUACGUCCGGGGCUACACACGUGUUACAAUGGGGGGUACAGAAGGCGGCUACCUGGUGACAGGAUGCUAAUCCCAAAAACCUCUCUCAGUUCGGAUCGAAGUCUGCAACCCGACUUCGUGAAGCUGGAUUCGCUAGUAAUCGCGCAUCAGCCAUGGCGCGGUGAAUACGUUCCCGGGCCUUGUACACACCGCCCGUCAAGCCAUGAAAGCCGGGGGUACCUGAAGUACGUAACCGCAAGGAGCGUCCUAGGGUAAAACUGGUAAUUGGGGCUAAGUCAUAA